AAAAAGGGGGGGGUUUUUUUUUAAAAAAAAAAAACCCCCCAAAAAAAAAACCUUUUGGGGGGGGCCCCCUCCCCCCUUUUUUUUUUUUUUUUAAAAAAAAAAAGGGGGGGAAAAAAAACCCCCCCCAAAAUUUUUUUUUUUUUGGGGGGGGGGUUUUUUUCCCCCAAAAUUUUUUUCCCCUUCCCCCCCCCA